GUUAAAUUUUAACUGUGCCACGCCACUUUUCUUUUCUUUUUGAAACGUGUGAAUCCUUCCUUCUUACAUCUUCAGGCCGUGAGACUUCUCUCCCUCUCUUCAUCUCCAUCAUCCUCUUCAAUGCCGUCAACCAAGAGUCGCAAAUUAGGAUUUCUCUGCGGCAGCGUUUUAGGUUUUCUAUGCAGGUGCGAAUGGGAAUCUGAAGAUAGAAGCUUGCGCGAGAGGGUUCUGAAGCGCGAUUUAGGGUUGCUGCAUUAGGUUUUGUCGUAGUUGGCAACAGCUUGCGCGAGAGGGUGCGAAAACAAAGAACAACAAUGAUAAGAAUUUUGCAGGCGCAUGGAGGCGACAUCCAGGAAGAAAGGAAAGGUUAUCACUGCCUAAACAACAUGGGAAAGGAGGAGUACGAGAAGUGGUGAGGAGGAAGGUCAUCGUGGUGUUGGUUGUAGCUUCGUUGACGACAUUAAAGAAGAUGAUGGAGAUGAAUAAGAUAGACGAGAAAAGUCUCACGGCCUGAAGAUGUAAAGAAUGAAU
rnacentral:sRNA from 1 species